rnacentral:lncRNA from 1 species
CUGGCCAGACCUUUGCCUCUUUGGAUAAAACUGCACAGAAAGAUAACAAACAUUUUUCUGAUAGUCAGAACCCCAGUCACAGUAAGACACAGUUCUCUGAAGAUAGCGAUCUUAUCAUUCCUGCAUGCCUCUACCCUGAUGACACAGACGUUGCAUUAUCGGUUUCAGAGGACAGCCAAAUUGUUUGGUAUGAAUAUGGUUGUAUUUGAUCAAAACUGCAUAGUAUGUUAAUAUUACUCAUUAGGCUUAUAUUAAGAUUGUUACAGAGUUCAGCUAUAUAAAAAGGCAUGUAUAUAAACACCACACCAAAGUCUGCAUGAAAUAGUAAUUGCAUUGUGCAUUUUUGCAUGCCUUUUAAACCCCACCCACAUUUCUUUUACAUCUUUUUAAUGCUUGAUAAAGAUGAUAAAGACACUUCAUGUCAUGGAUCAUGUCCAAGUAGCUGCAUGUUCUGUUAUCAAGAAAACAUAUCCAAGUCAUUGUUUGGCUGCUUCUAAAAAGCAUGUUCAUCGCUCUUCCUGCUGCCUGCUCCCCAGCCCUCUCCUUUGCUUCCUGAAUGUGCACUUCAUGCUGCACAUGCACAGCAUUCAUAAGAAAAUGUUUUUGAAAUGGUAUUUUUUUGUCACUUAAUCAUGUUAUCUUUCCUGUUCUCUUUUCAAAGAAAUAGUUAAUAGUUCAUCUUUAUUUGAACUAAUGCUUGCACUUAUAAAACAUUGUUCAAAUUUAAAAUACUGUUUAUUCAUAAAUGUGUUAUUCCUGGAGUUUUCUAUCAAAUUUAAAUGUAACUUACACAGUGAGUAGGCAUGUUUGUAUUACAGUUCCCUUCUUGGUGCUGUUCCUUUCCCGAUAAAUGCAAUAGCUUAACUACUUCCCCUUUAUUUUUUUGGUAUCCUUAACACAAAUUUUUCCAGUUUUUUUUUUAAACAUAUGAGUCAAAGAGAAAUAAACCAAGUUACUUAUUACCUUGGGAAUUUGUAUUUUUACUUCAAUUCAGAAGAAUAGCAAGGUUUUUAAAUGAUGAAAAAAAUUAACUUCUGUCAUUAAUUUAUUACUAAAUGUAAAUCCUUAAUGCAAACUUUUUAAAAAUUAAUACAUUGCGCUAGAGUAUAAAAUUAGAACUUGUGAGCAUAAAAAUGAAAAAUACACUAUGUAGUCUUUAUUCUAAAAUCUGUUGUAUUAAAAACAUAGUCUUGCCUGGUGUAUGCCUUUAACCCUGGCAGUUUGGGAGGCAGAGGUGAGUGGUUCUCUGAGUUCCAGGCCAGCCAGCGCUGUGAACUGGGACCCCGUCUCAAAAAGUUCAAACAAAAAGAAAACAAAACAAGC